rnacentral:rRNA from 1 species
CCUACGGGAGGCAGCAGUGAGGAAUAUUGGUCAAUGGGCGGAAGCCUGAACCAGCAAAGUAGCGUGCAGGAUGACGGCCCUACGGGUUGUAAACUGCUUUUAUACGGGAAUAACGCGCCUUACGUGUAGGGCUUUGCAUGUACCGUAUGAAUAAGGAACGGCUAAUUCCGUGCCAGCAGCCGCGGUAAUAAGGCAGGUCCGGGCGGUAUCCGGAUUUAUUGGGUUGAAAGGGAGCGUAGGCCGGAUGUAAAGCGUGCUGUGAAAUGUCCGGGCUCAACCCGGGCCUUGAAGCGCGAACAGGCGUGCUAGAGUCCGCGGAAGGCAGGCGGAAUUCGGCGUGUAGCGGUGAAAUGCUUAGAUAUGACGAAGAACCCCGAUUGCGAAGGCAGCUUGCUGCAGCGGAACUGACGCUGAUGCUCGAAAGCGCGGGUAUCGAACAGGAUUAGAUACCCCAGUAGUC